rnacentral:rRNA from 1 species
UACGUAGGGUCCAAGCGUUAUCCGAAAUCACUGGGCGUAAAGCGUGCGUAGGUGGAUUGUUAAGUGCGAUGCGAAAUCCUGUGGCUCAACCAUAUGGACUGUAUCGCAUACUGGCAAUCUUGAGGACAUGAGAGGCAAGUGGAAUUACUGGUGUAGCAGUGAAAUGCGUAGAGAUCAGUAGGAACACCAAUGGCGAAGGCAGCUUGCUGGCAUGUAUCUGACGCUAAGGCACGAAAGCGUGGGGAGCGAACAGG